GGAUAAUAGGAGUAAGACAAACAAAUUAGUCCUAAUGGCAUCUUAAACCAAAGACAUGAGCCAGGUGGUGGUGACACACAACUUUAGUCCCAGCACUCUGGAGUCAGAGAUAAGCAGAUCUCUGAUUUCAAGGCCAGGCUGUGCUGAAAGCCUUAAUCAUUUAUUACAGAAGUAGCAAUUAAUAUUCUAAGUAUCAACCCACCAGAAUUAAGUUCUGACGGAGAAAACUUGCCUUGCAAAGUUUGCAAGAAAUACAGACUCCAGAAUAUCUGUUGCUAUGAAUUUGGCUGCAUAAUGUUGACGUAGAGUAUGCACUGGAUGCUUUCUACCCUCAAAAGGGCCCCAGAGAAAGGAAAUUCCUUCUCUAUAGUUGUCAGUAGCAAUAGCUGCAGCCCCUGGCACUCACUCUGGAGACCAGGUGGAUCUCUAUGAGUUCAAGGCCAGCCUGGUCUACAGAGGAAGUGCCAGGAUAGGCUCCAAAGCUACACAGAGAAACAGAAACCCUGUCUCGAAAAAAAAAAAAAAAAAAAAAAACAAGAAAGGGAGAGAGAGAGGAGGGAGGGAAGGAAGGAAGGAAGACUAAAAUCAAAACAAGACCAAAAAACAAGCAAACAGAUUUCAUUAUUGGGUAGGUGUCCACUUGUUGAGCCCAUAGAGUUGGGUAGAGUUGGUACCAAUGGAGCUGGUGUAGGUGCUAGUGUUAUCUGGAGGGCCCACUAUGGUUGGCCCAGGUAAGAGGAGUAAACCUGCAAGAUAUGCUCAAAACUGGGUGGUGUCAAAAUGGACUGUGGGCUGUUAGUUUUUUACCAGGCCAGAUUUCUUGAUACAGUAGCAGAGCUCCUUUCCCAGGUACCUGCAGGUGUCCUUAAAAUAACUGGAACAGAUUUACAUCUUGGUGUUAUAGCAAAAGGCAAUGGCUUUAGAUUAAAAGGCAUUAACAUUUUAAAAGACAACCAGAGGAAAUUUAAAAUGCUGAACCUCUGAAGUUACAUCUGCAACCUGUUAAUCCCUCACUAUGAAGCCUGUGAAAGAGGCACACCUGUACUUUUAGCAGCAAACUUAACUAAUGAACUAAUGAGUUACAGGUACCCUAAUCAUCAAACACAAUCAGACAGAUCUGAGAGGGAUAAGUAAAUGAGCAGAAGUGAGAUAGCUCUCCAGCUACCUAGGCAAUUCCAAGUCUCUCCGUGGUCUUUGGGGGAUACAAGUUUCAGAAGCAGUGCUUGCCUUUAGCUGCUAAGCCAAGGAGACCUGACAUUUUCCUGUGGGGGAAGGGAUUGGUCUACCUGUCCUGGCAGGAACAAACAAGGACAAUGGAUUUGGUAUAGGUGGAGCAGAUCUGUCUCGGGAAGAAUCCCUGCAUGACCAGACCAAACUCCAGGGAAGCCUAUUGGGUAAAGUAAAAGUGCACAGGCCAUGCCAAAGAUAUGCCAAUAAGAGAGCUGAGGAGGAACAAGAGGAAACAUGGUACAGGAGCAGGGAAAGAGCAUGGGAACCAGGAACCAACAGGGCAGUUGUCAGAACCAAAUGAAUGGUAUGAGGUCUUAGAACUCCUGCCAGGUUGCCGGGCGGUGUUGGCGCACGCCUUUAAUACCAGCACUCAGGAGGCAGAGGCAGGCAGAUCUAUGUGAGUUGGAGACCAGUCUGGUCUACAAGAGCUAGUUCAAGAGCUAGUACCAGGACAGCCUCUAAAGCCACAGAGAAACCCUGUCUCGAAAAACCAAAAAAAAAAAAAAAAAAAAAAAAAACCAAAACAAAACAAAAUAAACAAACAAACAAAAGAGAACUCCUGCCAGGUCCCCAGCUACUCUGCCCUGCCUCUACAGAGCUCAGAGACGCCGAGGUUGUUCUGAAUAAAGCUGGGCACCUUUCAUAGUCCCCCUGCCUGGGGAAAAGCAUGGGUACUAGGAGGUCCAAGGAGCCACUAUGGCAAGUGAGGGCAUGGGCUCAUGCUUCUGCUGGAGAGAUGUGGUUAAGAGCACUCACUGGUUGUCUUUCCAGAGGACACAGGUUCAAUUCCUAGCAUUCACAUGGUGGCCCACAACUGUCUGUAACUCCAGCUUCAGGGCAUCUGACACCUCCAGCUUCCACAAGCACCUGCACUCAUGUGCACAUGCCCACAUGCAGACAUUACACACCUACACACAAUUAAAAAUAGUAAAAACAAAUCUUUGUUGAGUGUGGUGAUGUACACUUUUAAGCCUUCAAUUCAGGAGGCAGUCAGGCAGACCUUUGAGUUUGGAGUCUAGACUGGUUCCAGGAUCUACAGAGUGAGUUCCAGGACAGCCAGGGCUACACAGAGAAACCCUGUCUUGAAACCAAACCAAACAAAAAAGAUGAUUGACAAAUGCUUGUAUCCUGGUGGCCCUUUCUAUGUCCUGAGAUUUGGGGGACUAUGCCCCUUCACCUUGGGCAGGUAGCCUGAGACUGUCAGUCAUCCAUAUCAGAGCAGAACCCUAAAAUCUGAACCUGUAGUCCUCAGGCUGCUUAAUCAGCAGUGACACCCCUCAGCUCACAGCCCUAUGUAGUGCCACAGGCCUGGCCCUCCUACCCAUCCCUCCCAUUGCAGGAAAAAGAGGUUCUAGGAGAUAGCAAGAUGACACACAGGCCUAACAAGCUGAGCUCAUGUUCCAGAACCUACAUAAAGAUGAAGGGAGAGAACCAACUCCACAAAGUUGUCUCUGCCCAUACUUGUGCUGAGGCACAGAUACCUACUCAAGCUAGUACUCCACCAACCAACACAACGGUACUGAAUAAAUAAUGUGUUUAAAGGUUCUAGGAUCACUAUAGCUUCUGAGUCAUAAUACUCUGUGCUGCCCCAAGCAAGUGAUCAGUACACUAUGUUAGACAGGUGACAGGGGCAGGGAAUGGCACAAACCACUUUCAAGGAGAGAAGUGCCUGAGCCCUUCUGCUGAAGUUUGCUGGCCUCUCGAUCUUCUUCCAGGGCCAUCAGAGGUCUAGUGAUAAUUUCAGGUCCAUCACAGACCCACCACUGCCUCCACAAAGUCAAUCACAGCACUCACCAGAUAAGCAUGGUGCAAACAGGCAAUCAAAAGCCAUUUUGACGAGUCAGUCCCAGAGACUAAGCAGAAAAGGACCAAGGAUGCUGGUCUCCUUUUUGACAGCCUAGGGAGGUGCAGAACACCUUCCCUUCCUCAGAGUCUUGUGAGGCACAGCCUCUGCCUUCCAACCAUCGAAACUGCACUACCCAUACCUACCACCAGCAGGGAGGCAUUGGGUCGAAAGAGCUGGGGGUUAGGAUGGGGUGGAGAUGAGACAGUUCAGGUUAGAAAGUGGGAGUACCCUUGACAGGCAGUGCGACACCAGCAGCCUUCACUUGUCGCAUAACCUCACUCUCCUUUCUGGGCCCCUCUGGGGUAUUGUUUCUCAGAAAUUUCUGGAGCUGAGGCUCCAAUGUUAACUCUAGACAAUCUUCACAUUCCUAACUUGUUUGCUCAUGCUUAGCACUCAGUGCUAACAUCCACUGGGCACCACAGGGUCCUCCUCCCAAUGGCCAGAGUGAUGGAACAUGACUGAUCAUGACCCCAGGUUGGUAUCUAGCCUGUCUGGGCCUCCACUUCCUAAUGGAAAAGUUGACAGGGUUAGCAGCCCUGCAGCAGUACUCAGGGGAUUGUGACCACAGCUCCCAGGGUGUAACUAUGUCAAUGACCAGUUUGUGUCAGACUUUGCCUAGCUGCCCCAGCUCCUGUGACAGGGGCAGGGAGGGGGGCAGGGUGAGAAGCUUUCUCCUGUCUGUCUGGGACAUUUACCUAUUAAAUCUUAAUCCCUGGGACAAAUAGCCUAUUUAACAUAUCAAAGCAGACAUGUCUACCAGGUUCUCCCAGCACCCCUCAGCCCCUUCCUGUUACAGGGUAUGGCUAGUACACUCUAACCUCUAACCCCCACCUUCACCCCCACCUCUGCAGCCCAAGGGUUGAGCUGCCCUCCCCCCAAGGCUCUUCCCUAUAUAAUUCAGCCAUUUUGGUUACCCUCCCCUUCAGUACCUUUGCCUUCUUGACUGCUGAACCUGGUCGCCCUCUCUCCCCUUCUUCCUUCCCCUCCCUCAUUUCACAUGGCUCAGGGUCUUGUUCACUCCACACUCUCCCAGAUGUCCCUAUCUCAUCUACAAUAAACCUUCUUGCCCUUCCUUUUUACUUCUUUUUUUAUCCAUUACCCUUUCCUUCCUGUUCAGAAGGAAGGCCUUUGGGGACAUUUCCUCUCUGACAUUUUUUUCUCAAAGCUCAGGCCUAAGUCAGUUUCCCAGCACUCCUCCCCACAGCCAUGGGUCCCUACAUAAGUCCCGGCUGCCAGAUGCACCCCUAGCCCUGGGCUCAUCAACCCCCAUCUCAGGAUCCACUCUUCAUUAGCCUUGAGAUAUAGACCUCAGCUUUCUCACUUGAAAAGUGAGGCAUUUAUUGGUUCUGUGUCAUGGGUCUCUAGAGAACAUGUGUUCCACGGUUUUGGGCUGCUCUUGGGCUGGGUAACUCUGGGCUUGUGACUUGACCUCCCCAGUGUUUCUUCUAUGGAAUAAUGUCUUUUGUGAGAAGUCACAAGUGAACCUGAGUCUGGCACAUGCUAGGAGCUCAGUCAACACUGACUGAAGAAAAAAAUCCUCAGGAACAAAGGCAACACAGCCACAUGUAGUCUUGUCCCCACAGACCUAGUAGAUAAUGCCCAAAUGGGUCCCACUUUUUUUUUCUUGUCCAGUCA
ensembl:lncRNA